rnacentral:lncRNA from 1 species
CUCCACCCAAAGGCUCCUUUCUCCAUAUCUGGUGGUCUUUCCACUGCCUUUUAUGACGACUGAAAACCCAGAAAGUCCAGAUGACUCUAGGAGAGUGAAACAGAUUCAUUCACUCAACAAAUAAAUGAGUUACAGACUUUGGGUACUGAGAGCAAGAAUGAGAAAGCAGGAAAAUGAGUAAGCAUGAAAUGGAAAAGAGAUGAAAAAAAGAAGACAGGAACAAAACAGGAGAUUGAGAGUCUCUGAGAACUACUGUAAGAGAAACUGAGUCAGGAAGCUUUUGAAAGUGGGAACUGGCUGAGGGAAGAUUCCAAGGAUGGAUGAACACAGAGCUACAGGGACUGAAGAGGUUCCGCGGGAAGGUAGGACUCACCAAAAUGGAGGACUAUUGUUGCCCCGCCAGCUGCAGAAGCGGAUUUGUUUUCUGAAAUACCCAAUACAAUGGCUGCAUCUAACAGCGUAUGUGUCUAACAUCCUGCCCUCUUGUAUCCUGUCUCUCUGCCAGGGAGAUGGAGGUAUUUGUCAUUAUCUGUUCUCUAGGAUCAAUUUUGGCUUUUACGAUUUCUCAUGGUCCAACAAAUCCUGCCUCAGACACUUACUAACUGUAUAACCUUAGGUUAGCCACUUAACUCUUCUCCGCCUCAGUUUGCUCAAAUGUCAAAUAGGAAUAGUAGCAUCAUCUCCAUAGAGGGUCUGUGAAGAUUAAAUGAGAUAACAUAUGUAAAGAACUUCACAAAUCUAAAGAGUUGAAUGAAUGCUAGCUAUUAUUAUCAUCUUCUUCUUCAUUAUCAUCAUCAGCUAGGUGACAUGGUAAAAAGAAUGCGAGAUUUGGAAUGAGGAUGUGUUGGGCAAAUCACUUAAACUUUAACUCAGUUUUCUCAUCUGUAAUAUGGGAAUAAGAAUAGUACCUCUCUCCCAAGGUGGUUGUAUCUCAAAUGAGAUAAUAUUUGUAAAGUGCUUUGCAAACCUUAAAGCUCCCUAUAUUUUCUAUCUAUGAUGAUAACAGC